AUCUGUAGUGUGCUACCUCUUUAAUGGGAAAUCUUAGAGGCUAUCAGUAUUGAAUGGUGACCAGAGGAAAAUACUGCUCUACAUAUAGGUCUGGGCUGUCAUACAAACUGAUCUGCUACUGGGGCCUCAUGACCUAGCAGAUCCAAAAGUAUUCAACAUGUUUGUGGCAGAUGCAAAUGCUGUUUAGAACCUUCGAGAGGUCGCUGUAGAAGCACAAUGCAAAACUUCAGGAUUUUGGAGCAAAACUUUGUCAUCUUUUGCACACACAGUGUUCUCUUUUGAUAGCUCCUGGUGUGCUACUGGACCCUAGUAGAGAUAGAAUGUCUGACUCUGAGCCACUAAGUAACCAUUCAACCUCUUCUGCCCUUCAAGACCUGGGAAAUGUCUGAAAAAACAAGUAAUGAAACGUGUGUAUAGCAGCACUCCAUUACAAGUUGUAGUUUUAUAUACGAGAUUGGUCUCAAGCAAGACCUAAAGGUAAAAGUAAGAGGCUCAGAUUUGCAUGGCUCCUCCUCUUGCUGCAUUAACUGCUGUCUCUCAACGCAAGCAUACUGUAACAUAUUGAUGGAGGAGGAAAAUGCUGAGUCUCGUUUACAGAUAAUUCUAUGUAACAUGCUGGCAUCACCUAAAGUGGAGAACUGCGAGAUUACUGCCCCAUCCAAGAAAACCCUUCAGCAGCCCCAUUCUUCAGGAACCGUGAAGGACUAUGGCAAAGAGAUGAUAAAUAGCCAAAGACGUCAAUGGCACCCAUGGACAUAGUAAGCAUAGUAGGAGCUGAAAAACUAGAAGCAAUGACAAUGUCAACUAUUUUGAGCAAAAAGAAGCAGUGUCUUCGGAACAUUUGAUCAUAAAACCAGACAUUAAAGGAUGAGAAAAACAUUUUUCUGAAGCUGAUACUUUCACAUUUCCUACAGAGCAUAUUUGUAUGGAUGGGGGUGGGUAAACACUCAACAAAAGUUUCUUUAAAAAGAAGAAACCAUCCUGGUUUGAUGUAAUCAACAGUUGCCCACUGCUCCCUUCCUG
rnacentral:lncRNA from 1 species